AACUCCAAUGGCUCUGUGUCAGCACAUCCACAUCGGGCCACAACAAUGGCUGCCGCCAAUGUCCCAGUCCCUGGAGAGCUCUCACCUCUCACCAAGAUGCACUCAGGGCCUAUUAGGAAUGUGAGGAAGACCUUCUCGAGGAGGAUGAGAGAGAUGUGAAGCAGACUCAGACCUGACCCUCAGUUUACAGCUGCCCAGAAAUCUCAGUAAAGACCAUGGCCUGCGCUCUCCCCCUUGCUGUUGUCUUCUGCCUGGUGACCACUCUAGUGAUUUCCCCUGUGGCUCUGUGUGGCAUGUGGUGACACCAGCUCUGGGACUUGUUGUGAGUCCCUUGAGGAUAGGGAUUAUUGUGUCUUUUUCAUCUCUAAUUCCCAGCAUUUAUGCAAUCCCUGGCAUAGAAAUGUGAAGAAAUGCUCUAAGCAAAAACAAGAAUUGAGGAAUUAUGAGUGCUAUGGGUACUACCAAGACUAGUGGUCCUCAGAAAGAGAUACUGGAAAAGAGGAGAUCGAUAUGAGAGAUGUAUUGGAGGUAAAAUUGACAAGACUGGACAAGUAACUAAAUGAGGUUUGGGUGGCAAGUCAGUCAAAGAUAAUUUUCAAAUUUUGAGGUUGGAUGACAAGGAUAGAUGGUGGUUCCAUUCAUUUUGACACAAAACACAGCUGCCCGUCUCAAUCUUAUUGAAUCUGAAAUGUAGGUCUUGAGUAACAUUCUCUAGCACAGUUACAAUUGGGCACAUCUAUGUGUAAAAUUCCCAUAAUUCUCUAUUACUGAACAGAAAAAUUGUAUUUUACUUUUUGAUGGCAAAUCUGUGGCCAGCAGUCAAAUAUACAUACACAGCAUUAAUGAAAAUAUAAACAGCAUGAAUGAACAGCGGAGAACCUUAUGAACAAGAUUUUUAGUACGUUUUUGCUUGAAAGCAGUAAUAAAUCAGUUCUGUAGAAAACCUCUGUCCUGAUACAACACCUGCCCUCAAGGUAAUGAGAAUGCUUUCCUCAUUUAUUACUUGUCUAAGCUUUAACCUUUGUAACUUCCUCUGAGUCAACUUACA